UAUUAUGAAAAUGGGAGCUGAGAGAAACUCGGCUGAGAGGAACUUUUAUCUAAGUUCGACCAUAUAACCUGAUUUAGGUAAUGCUAACGUAGGGAACAUACAAGAGAUUAAAGU
rnacentral:ncRNA from 2 species